rnacentral:rRNA from 1 species
UACGGGGGGAGCAAGCGUUGUUCGGAUUUACUGGGCGUAAAGGGCGCGUAGGCGGCCACCCAAAGUCGGUUGUGAAAUCUCUGGGCUUAACCCAGAAAGGUCAACCGAUACUGCGGGGCUAGAGUGCAGAAGGGGCAACUGGAAUUCUCGGUGUAGCGGUGAAAUGCGUAGAUAUCGAGAGGAACACCUGCGGCGAAGGCGGGUUGCUGGGCUGACACUGACGCUGAAGCGCGAAAGCUAGGGGAGCGAACGGG